CCCAGACUCCUACGGGAGGCAGCAGUGGGGGAUAUUGCACAAUGGGGGGAACCCUGAUGCAGCGACGCCGCGUGGGUGAAGGAGCGUUUCGGCGCGUAAAGCCCUAUCGGCAGGGAAGAAGGAGGACGGUACCUGACUAAGAAGCCCCGGCUAACUACGUGCCAGCAGCCGCGGGAAUACGUAGGGGGCAAGCGUUAUCCGGAUUUACUGGGUGUAAAGGGGGCGCAGACGGCAGCGCAAGCCAGGAGUGAAAGCCCGGGGCCCAACCCCGGGACUGCUCUUGGAACUGCGCGGCUGGAGUGCAGGAGGGGCAGGCGGAAUUCCUGGUGUAGCGGUGAAAUGCGUAGAUAUCAGGAGGAACGCCGGUGGCGGAGGCGGCCUGCUGGACUACGACUGACGUUGAGGCCCGAAAGCGUGGGGAGCAAGCAGGAUUAGAUCCCCGGGUA
rnacentral:rRNA from 1 species